rnacentral:rRNA from 1 species
GACGAACGCUGGCGGCGUGCUUAACACAUGCAAGUCGAACGGAUCUUCAGCUUUCGGGUUGUUGGUUAGUGGCGAACGGGUGAGUAACACGUGAGUAACCUGCCCCUCUCUUUGGGAUAACUGCGAGAAAUUGUAGCUAAUACCGAAUAUUCAUUUCUUGUCGCAUGACGGGUGAUGGAAAGAUUUUUUGGUGAGGGAUGGACUCGCGGCCUAUCAGCUUGUUGGUGGGGUAAUGGCCUACCAAGGCUUUGACGGGUAGCCGGCCUGAGAGGGCGACCGGCCACACUGGGACUGAGAUACGGCCCAGACUCCUACGGGAGGCAGCAGUGGGGAAUAUUGCACAAUGGGCGAAAGCCUGAUGCAGCAACGCCGCGUGCGGGAUGACGGCCUUCGGGUUGUAAACCGCUUUCACCAGGGGCGAAUUUGGACGGUACCUGGGGAAGAAGCACCGGCUAACUACGUG